rnacentral:lncRNA from 1 species
UUGGAAUAUAACAAUAUUAAAAAGAAAAAAAAGAAAUUGACAGUUUUAUUUUAUGAUAAAAUAACCAACUUAGACAUCUUUAAUCCUACCCAUGUUCUUCCCCUAAACAGUAGCUUUCAAACCACAAACAGCUGCUAUUAAAACCUUUAAAUCCUACCCAUCUCAACCUUCACCCAAAAAUUCUUCUCUUUUUCAGCUUCCAGUUUCUCCCGUCUCCAUUUUCAAAAAGCUUUCUCUUCACCUUUAAGCUUUUCUUGCUAAAUCACCCGAAGUACUCAGGCUUAUCCCCCAUGAAAACUUUAUCCUAUACCAUCAAGCAACAUAUACAUAAUCCACUCUUGUAGUUCAAAUUCUACUUUGAACGUUUUCCAGCUGAGCUGACUUAUACAGAACUGAAUAGGGAGUUCAAGAAACAUGGAAAAGUUAUUUCUCUUUUUGUCUCCAAAAGGAAAAUGAAAUUGGUAAGACGGUUUGGUUUUGUCACAAUACAAUCACACCAACAACAGGAUAUCCUCAAAGAAAGGCUGAAUCUUACCUGGUUUAACUCCUAUAAACUCAGGGCUAAUAUGGUGCGAUUUAGUAAACCGUCUAUUAACUCGAACAAUG